UAAAAGUGGCGCCUAAAGUAGUGCUUGGUUGGAAAUUCAUAACUGUAAAACACUCAUCAAUAAAUAUUUAAUUUAAUCAAAUAAGUAAAAAAAAAAAGUGUUCAUCAAUGGCGUUUCUCCUCAGUGGAGAUAUACGCAACCACCAUCAUCAUAAUCAUCUUCAAAACCCUAUUUCUAUAUUCCUUUCUUCCUCUUUCUAUUUUAUUCAUUCCUUUCUAUUAAUUAAUUAAUUAAUUAAUUAAUAAUUUCACUUUCACCUUCAACAAACAAAUCAAUCAAUUUUAUUCCUUUCAAUUCACCACAUAUGCAACCAAAAUCAAUUCUAAAUUAGGGUUUUCAAUUUCAUCAUCAUCAUCAUCAUCAUGGGAAACAGCUCAAGCAACGGCGGUAACAA
rnacentral:lncRNA from 1 species